UGCUCUUGCAAAGGACACAGGCUUGGUUC
rnacentral:piRNA from 1 species